rnacentral:rRNA from 1 species
CGAGCGAGUAACGCGUGCCUAACCUGCCCUUAAGAUGGGAACAACUACGGAGACGUAGCUAAAUCCCAAUAUGCUCACGAUGGUGAAAUGCCGAUGCGAGGAAAGAUUUAUCGCUUAAGGAGGGGGCGGCGUCCUAUCAGGUAGUUGGUUGAGGUAACGGCUCACCAAGCCUAUGACAGGUAGCUGGUCUGAGAUGAUGUCCAGCCGCGAUGGGACUGAGAUACGGCCCAUACUCCUACGGGAGGCAGCAGGUGGGAAUCUUGCACAAUGGACGAAAGUCUGAUUGCAGCGAUCCCGCGUGAAGGAUGAAGCAUUACGGUGUAGUAAACUUCUUUUUUGGUGGAAGACGAAUGACGGUACACCAAGAAUAAGAGACGGCUAACUACGUGCCAGCCGCCGC